rnacentral:rRNA from 1 species
UACGUAGGGUGCGAGCGUUGUCCGGAAUUAUUGGGCGUAAAGAGCUCGUAGGCGGUUUGUCGCGUCCGACUGUGAAAACCUACAGCUUAACUGUGGCUUGCAGUCGAUACGGGCAGACUUGAGUUCGGUAGGGAGACUGGAAUUCCUGGUGGUAGCGGUGAAUGCGCAGAUAUCAGGAGGAACACCGGUGGCGGAAGGCGGGUCUCUGGGCCGAUACUGACGCUGAGGAGCGAAAGCGUGGGGAGCAAACAGG